AUACGGAGGAUCCGAGCGUUAUCCGGAUUUAUUGGGUUUAAAGGGUGCGCAGGCGGCCAUUUAAGUCAGCGGUUAAAUCGCGGGGCUCAACCCCAUUCUGCCGUUGAUACUGGGUGGCUUGAUUGCGGGCGAGGUUGGCGGGAUUCGUUGUGUAGCGGUGAAAUGCAUAGAUAUGACGAAGAACAGCGAUUGCGUAGGCAGCGGACCAGACCGAAAAUGACGCGCAUGCACGAAAGUGCGGAGAUAGAACAGGAUUAGAUGCCCUGGUAGUCCGCACAGUAAACGAUGAAUACUUGUUUCCGGCGAUAUAAUGUCGGAGGCAAAGCGAAAGCGAUAAGUAUUCCGCCUGGGGAGUACGCCGGCAACGGUGAAACUCAAAGGAAUUGACGGGG
rnacentral:rRNA from 1 species